rnacentral:rRNA from 1 species
CAGCACCUCAAGUGGUCAGGAUGAUUAUUGGGCCUAAAGCAUCCGUAGCCGGCGCUGUAAGUUUUCGGUUAAAUCUGUACGCUCAACGUACAGGCUGCCGGGAAUACUGCAGCGCUAGGGAGUGGGAGAGGUAGACGGUACUCGGUAGGAAGGGGUAAAAUCCUUUGAUCUAUUGAUGACCACCUGUGGCGAAGGCGGUCUACCUGAACACGUCCGACGGUGAGAGAUGAAAGCUGGGGGAGCAAACCGGAUUAGAUACCCGAGUAGUCC